rnacentral:rRNA from 1 species
GACGAACGCUGGCGGCGUGCCUAAUACAUGCAAGUCGAGCGGAACUGGGGGAGCUUGCUCCUUCCAGUUUAGCGGCGAACGGGUGAGUAACACGUGGGCAACCUGCCCUGCAGAUCGGGAUAACUCCGGGAAACCGGUGCUAAUACCGAAUAGUUUGGCGCCUCUCCUGAGGCGCUACGGAAAGACGGUUUCGGCUGUCACUGCAGGAUGGGCCCGCGGCGCAUUAGCUAGUUGGUGGGGUAACGGCCCACCAAGGCGACGAUGCGUAGCCGACCGGGGAGGGUGACCGGCCACACUGGGACUGCGAAACGGCCCAGACUCCUACGGGAGGCAGCAGUAGGGAAUCUUCCGCAAUGGACGCAAGUCUGACGGAGCAACGCCGCGUGAGUGACGAAGGUUUUCGGAUCGUAAAACUCUGUUGUGAGGGAAGAACACGUACCAACUAACUAUUGGUACCUUGACGGUACCUCACCAGAAAGCCACGGCUAACUACGUGCCAGCCGCCGCGGUAA